AGGUAGGAAUACCCGCUGAACUUAAGCAUAUCAAUAAGCGGAGGAAAAGAAACCAACAGGGAUUGCCCUAGUAACGGCGAGUGAAGCGGCAACAGCUCAAAUUUGAAAUCUGGCUCUCGGGCCCGAGUUGUAAUUUGUAGAGGAUACUUUUGAUGCGGUGCCUUCCGAGUUCCCUGGAACG
rnacentral:rRNA from 1 species